UACGUAGGGGGCGAGCGUUGUCCGGAUUUAUUGGGCGUAAAGAGCUCGUAGGUGGCUUGGUAAGUCGGAUGUGAAAUCUCCAGGCUCAACCUGGAGGGGUCAUUCGAUACUGCCAUGACUAGAGUUCGGUAGGGGAGUGUGGAAUUCCUGGUGGAGCGGUGAAAUGCGCAGAUAUCAGGAGGAACACCCGUAGCGAAGGCGGCACUCUGGGCCGAUACUGACACUGAGGAGCGAAAGCGUGGGGAGCGAACAGG
rnacentral:rRNA from 1 species